UACGUAGGGUGCGAGCGUUAAUCGGAAUUACUGGGCGUAAAGCGUGCGCAGGCGGUUUUGUAAGCCGGAUGUGAAAUCCCCGGGCUUAACCUGGGAAUGGCGUUCGGGACUGCAAGGCUGGAGUGCGGCAGAGGAGACUGGAAUUCCUGGUGUAGCAGUGAAAUGCGUAGAUAUCAGGAGGAACACCGAUGGCGAAGGCAGGUCUCUGGGCUGACACUGACGCUCAUGCACGAAAGCGUGGGGAGCAAACAGG
rnacentral:rRNA from 1 species